rnacentral:rRNA from 1 species
UACGUAGGGUCCAAGCGUUAUCCGGAAUUACUGGGCGUAAAGAGUUGCGUAGGUGGCACAGUAAGUAGGUAGUGAAAUCGUGUGGCUCAACCAUACACCCAUUACCUAAACUGCUGAGCUAGAAGAUGAGAGAGGUCGCUGGAAUUCCUUGUGUAGGAGUGAAAUCCGUAGAUAUAAGGAGGAACACCGAUGGCGUAGGCAGGCGACUGGCUCAUUCUUGACACUAAGGCACGAAAGCGUGGGGAGCGAACUGG